rnacentral:rRNA from 1 species
UAGCAUAUCAAUAAGCGGAGGAAAAGAAACCAACAGGGAUUGCCCUAGUAACGGCGAGUGAAGCGGCAACAGCUCAAAUUUGAAAUCUGGCCUCUUUGGGGGUCCGAGUUGUAAUUUGCAGAGGGUGCUUUGGCGUUGGCUGUGGUCUAAGUUCCUUGGAACAGGACGUCGCAGAGGGUGAGAAUCCCGUAUGUGGCCGCCAGUCUUCGCCGUGUAAAGCCCCUUCGACGAGUCGAGUUGUUUGGGAAUGCAGCUCUAAAUGGGAGGUAAAUUUCUUCUAAAGCUAAAUAUUGGCCAGAGACCGAUAGCGCACAAGUAGAGUGAUCGAAAGAUGAAAAGCACUUUGGAAAGAGAGUCAAAAAGCACGUGAAAUUGUUGAAAGGGAAGCGCUUGCAGCCAGACUUGCUUGCAGUUGUUCAGCCGGGCUCUUGCCCGGUCUACUCUUCUGCUCGCAGGCCAGCAUCAGUCCGGGCGGUUGGAUAAAGGCCUAUUAAACGUACCUCCCCUCGGGGAGGACUUAUAGGGUAGGCGACAUGCAACCAGCCCGGAUUGAGGUCCGCGCAUCUGCUAGGAUGCUGGCGUAAUGGCUGUAAGCGGCCCGUCUUGAAACACGGACCAAGGAGUCUAACAUCUAUGCGAGUGUUUGGGUGUCAAGCCCGAGCGCGUAAUGAAAGUGAACGGAGGUGGGAACCUUUCGGGGUGCACCAUCGACCGAUCCUGAUGUCUUCGGAUGGAUUUGAGUAAGAGCAUAGCUGUUGGGACCCGAAAGAUGGUGAACUAUGCCUGAAUAGGGUGAAGCCAGAGGAAACUCUGGUGGAGGCUCGCAGCGGUUCUGACGUGCAAAUCGAUCGUCAAAUUUGGGCAUAGGGGCGAAAGACUAAUCGAACUAUCUAGUAGCUGGUUCCUGCCGA